AUUUGGUAGAUGUCUCUUCAACUCUUUUUACAUAUACAAUAUACAUAUAUAUUUAUAUACGUAUAUAUUUUACUUUCACUAGUUUUAUUUUAAAAGGUUUUGGGUUUUUUUUAAUGUCUGCUUUAAUCAUUCUUGCAGUGACGUAAGAAAAAAACAUACUAUAGGACAGAGUUAAUACAAAAGGUUUAAGUAUCGUUAGUUUAGUUUAAUAAGUCCGGAUCUCACUUAACACGUGGCUAUCACAGUAAUUAACGGCAGUGAAUAAUUAACUUAUCUCGAAUUAUUACUUACACUUCAUUAAACAAUUUGGUCGUCAAUGGAUUUUCUGUGUAAGUGCUAAUGUUGAUUUGUAAGAUUAGUGUACAUACUGUUGUUGACCAUAAACCUAUCUUCUAACCUCCACCUUCACGUAAUGUUUUCUCAACAGCCCAAACCAAACAAUUUCUCCGACUCUACCUCUCUAUCAAAGGAAAAUCGAAACAGUGAAACAUUUUACUAAGUGAAAGAUCAAAUCUAUAACUAACUUUGCAAUCCAUAGUAAGUUCCACUUAAAAAGACCAGGUUUAUAUUUUUAGAAGUGUUUACAAAUGUUUGAAAUAUCCCAUUAACCCCUCCAAUCCAAUCCUUAAUCACUACUUUUCACAAAGACACGGAAAACUAUAAGUAAGAUAUAUUAUUAAAAAUUCAAUUAUAUUCAUACAUUGCCAUUUAUAUUUACUAUACCUGCAUUUUAUUGCAGGUUUGAAAUAUAUUUAUUUACUGAUUAUUGGAGAUUACUGUGUCCGAGUUGAGGAGCCCGAUCCACCAACCAACUUAACAAAUUAUUGUCGAUUCCCACCUACGAUACCACAAUAAGUAUCAGGGAAAAGUAUGAAGAACUGUUUGAUUUUUAAUAAUAUUACAUUACUAGCUUGGGAAAUUAGUGUUGUUCAGGUUAUUUGUAGUUACUCCCGCCGUUUACCCGCACUUGGUCGAUUUACCGGGAAACUAGAUUUUCAAAAUAAUAGUCGACCCACUCAACUUAGAAUCUCAAAACUAAGCGAAGUACAUUCGUGUGGCUGUCCUGAGUUUCUCAAUCAAAAUUUAGGGCAAAUUCGGUCCAGGGCCAGGGGUUUCUGAGUUAUGAUCGGAAAAACUAACAAACAGACAAGCAAAGAUUAUAACUUUAUAUUUAUAGAUGUAAAUCUUGAAUAUUUAGCAGACCGUCGCAAUUGUAAUAUAUUUCGAGAAAUAAUAAAUAUAUUGUAUUUCCCCCCCUGGGUAACGAAGGAUAGAAUGUAUAGCCCUCUGGACAAGAAAAGUCAUUACAGCUAAAAUUGCUGUACGUUAGACGAUGUAAUUCCACUAAACGUACUGAACCGAAACAUAAACAUAAACAUAAUACGUCAUAUUUCAAAUAUACAAAACAAUUUCAAUAUUUAUGACAUAAUUAAUAACAUAUAAAGCAUUUUUUGAUAAUCAUUAAUGCAAUAAUAAUAAUCAUAUAUGUAAUGAUAAAAAUUAGUACCAAUAUGGAGGUCAAAGGACGGACUCUAUCGAAACUAGGUUUCCAUCCGUCUGGAUCUCAUUUCCCUGUAGCGCCCCCUCUACCUCCUCAUGUUAAGAGACUUCUAGAUCAUUUGAAGAAAGGUUUGAAUGAAUGCUUUGAAUGAUAGAGGAGUAGGUUUGGAACUCACUGAGCCUAAUUUUCAAGAUGAUCAAAAGCAAUUAUUAGCAGAG